GAAGGUGCUGAAUGCCAUGUGACUUGCUGGCCAUUUUGUCUCUACAAGAUCACAGUGAUCAACUGAAGUUACAAAGCAUGCUGAGAAGUCGAAUAUGGUCACUUCCCCCAUUUCCUGGAAGUCCUGCCUCUUCUGGGCUCCACGAUAUAUAAACUCUCCUGCCACCAGAAGAAGGCGUUAAUUUUUGAAGCAGAGAGGACAGGAGACAGAGCUCCUGCUUUGUGAGAGCAGCUCAACUGAACAAUUGUAUCACCUGGCUGUGGCUGUUGAUCUUUGAGCUUCUUUCUUGUUUAUCAUUUUGUUUUGUUUCUCUCAUGUAAAUGAUGCUCAUUGUGAAGGUUCCCCAGCUCAUUCCUUCCCUUAUUUUGCAGUGUGUCACGGUAAACACAUACAUAACUGCUUUGGGCCAGCUUGGAGUUAACCCCUCUAUUUCUACCCAACAUUGCAGUACACAUGCAGUAUAAUUGGAGAACGUUAUUAACAACUGUGGUUGCUGGGUCUCGUUGCCUUGAGUAUGUUGGAUCACACCAAUUGAAAUCAUAGGGGAUUAUGUUCUGGGGGUUUGGGAAUUUUACCCCUUAUCACCAACAUCAUGUUGAUUUAUAUGGAUGCCAACAUUUUGAGUGCUGUUGCUACGAGCAUUCUAUGAAAGGUCCACAUGGAUUUGUGUUUUCUUCAUUAUAUGGCAUGAGUCCUUAAGAUCAGCCCUGGAGGGCCACAGUGGCUUCAGG